rfam:Struthio camelus australis contig44114, whole genome shotgun sequence.
CCAAAGGCUCUUUUAAGAGCCACACACGUUUUCCUUUAAAGAGCUU